GGAGAGGUGGCAGAGUGGUCAAUUGCGACUAAUUCCUAAUUCGUUUAUGGCUUUUAAUGGCUAUACGAGGGUUCGAAUCCCUCUCUCUCCU
rnacentral:tRNA from 1 species